rnacentral:rRNA from 1 species
AUAUUUGCCGAAUUCCUCUCCUCUAAUUAUUUUUUAAUUUUAUUACAUUUUUAUAUAUAUAUAUAUAUAUAUAUAUAUUAAUUUAUAUACUAAUUUUAUCAUAAUAACUAAUUUUAAUUAAUUUAAAAUUAUUUUUUUAUAAAAAUUUAAAUAUAAUUUUAAAUUUUAAAAUUAAUAAAAUUAUUUAUAAAAAAUUAUAAUUUAUAAAAAAUAUAAAUUUUAAAAAAUUUAAAAAACUUUUUUUAUAUAUUAUAAAAAUUUAUUUUAAAGCUUAUCCCUUAAAAUAUUUAAUUAAUUAUAUUAUUUUAUAAAAUAAAUUUAUAAAAUAAAAAAAAAAUUAAUUUAAAAUUAAAUUUUUUUCUAAAAAAACUAGAUAUUUUUAAAAACGAUUAACAUUUCAUUUCAAAUUAAUUAUUUAAAAUAAUUAUGCAAUAUUAACUUUAAUAAUUAAUUAUCUCUUUUAAAUUCGAGAUAUUUUAUCUAAAAAUAUUAUUUAAUAAACUCUGAUACACAAGAUACAACAAAUUAAAUUUACUUAUUUAAUAAUUUAUUUUCAAAAUUUUUCAAAAUUCUUUCACAAUACUAUUUUACUAUAAAUUAAUAAAUUUUUUCUUAAAAAAUACUUUAACCCCCAUUAAUGAUUUUUUAAAAUUAUUUUUAUUAUUUAUAAAUUAUUAUUAAUUCCCCCUUA